rnacentral:rRNA from 1 species
GCUGGCGGCAGGCCUAACACAUGCAAGUCGAGCGGUAGCACAGAGAGCUUGCUCUCGGGUGACGAGCGGCGGACGGGUGAGUAAUGUCUGGGAAACUGCCUGAUGGAGGGGGAUAACUACUGGAAACGGUAGCUAAUACCGCAUGAUGUCGCAAGACCAAAGUGGGGGACCUUCGGGCCUCAUGCCAUCAGAUGUGCCCAGAUGGGAUUAGCUAGUAGGUGGGGUAACGGCUCACCUAGGCGACGAUCCCUAGCUGGUCUGAGAGGAUGACCAGCCACACUGGAACUGAGA